rnacentral:sRNA from 1 species
ACUUACCUGGACGGGGUUAAUGGGCGAUCAAGAAGGCUCAUGGCCUAGAUUAGUGGCCUCCAUUGCACUUAGGAGGAACGCUCGUCUACCAUCUCCCCAAGUGGGAGUGGACGUCAUAAUUUGUGGCAGAGGGGGUACGCGUUCGCGCGGCCCCUACCAAUAUUUAAAAUUUUAAAACGUUUUUUAAACUUUGAUAGAAAAAUUGAUUUUGUAUUCUGAAUUAUGUCGCUUGUAUUGU